rnacentral:rRNA from 1 species
GACGAACGCUGGCGGCGUGCCUAAUACAUGCAAGUCGAACGCUUUUUCUUUCACCGGAGCUUGCUCCACCGAAAGAAGAGGAGUGGCGAACGGGUGAGUAACACGUGGGUAACCUGCCCAUCAGAAGGGGAUAACACUUGGAAACAGGUGCUAAUACCGUAUAACAGUAGAAACCGCAUGGUUUCUAUUUGAAAGGCGCUUUUGCGUCACUGAUGGAUGGACCCGCGGUGCAUUAGCUAGUUGGUGAGGUAACGGCUCACCAAGGCAACGAUGCAUAGCCGACCUGAGAGGGUGAUCGGCCACAUUGGGACUGAGACACGGCCCAAACUCCUACGGGAGGCAGCAGUAGGGAAUCUUCGGCAAUGGACGAAAGUCUGACCGAGCAACGCCGCGUGAGUGAAGAAGGUUUUCGGAUCGUAAAACUCUGUUGUUAGAGAAGAACAAGGAUGAGAGUAAAACGUUCAUCCCUUGACGGUAUCUAACCAGAAAGCCACGGCUAACUACGUGCCAGCAGCCGCGGUAAUACGUAGGUGGCAAGCGUUGUCCGGAUUUAUUGGGCGUAAAGCGAGCGCAGGCGGUUUCUUAAGUCUGAUGUGAAAGCCCCCGGCUCAACCGGGGAGGGUCAUUGGAAACUGGGAAACUUGAGUGCAGAAGAGGAGAGUGGAAUUCCAUGUGUAGCGGUGAAAUGCGUAGAUAUAUGGAGGAACACCAGUGGCGAAGGCGGCUCUCUGGUCUGUAACUGACGCUGAGGCUCGAAAGCGUGGGGAGCAAACAGGAUUAGAUACCCUGGUAGUCCACGCC